GGGUCGUUAGCUCAGUCGGUAGAGCAGCGGACUUUUAAUCCGUUGGUCGACAGUUCAAAUCUGUCACGACCCA
rnacentral:tRNA from 2 species